UACGUAGGGUGCGAGCGUUGUCGGGAAUUAUUGGGCGUAAAGAGCUUGUAGGCGGUUUGUCGCGUCUGUUGUGAAAAUCCGGGGCUCAACCCCGGACUUGCAGUGGGUACGGGCAGACUAGAGUGUGGUAGGGGAGACUGGAAUUCCUGGUGUAGCGGUGAAAUGCGCAGAUAUCAGGAGGAACACCGAUGGCGAAGGCAGGUCUCUGGGCCACUACUGACGCUGAGAAGCGAAAGCAUAGGGAGCGAACAGG
rnacentral:rRNA from 1 species